UACGUAGGGGGCUAGCGUUGUCCGGAAUCAUUGGGCGUAAAGCGCGUGUAGGCGGCCCGGUAAGUCCGCUGUGAAAGUCGGGGGCUCAACCCUCGGAUGCCGGUGGAUACUGUCGGGCUCGAGUACGGAAGAGGCGAGUGGAAUUCCUGGUGUAGCGGUGAAAUGCGCAGAUAUCAGGAAGAACACCUAUGGCGAAGGCAGCUCUCUGGGCCGUAACUGACGCUGAGGAGCGAAAGCGUGGGGAGCGAACAGG
rnacentral:rRNA from 1 species